CCUACGGGUGGCUGCAGUCGAGAAUUUUUCUCAAUGGGCGCAAGCCUGAAGGAGCGACGCCGCGUGGAGGAUGAAGGUCUUCGGAUUGUAAACUCCUGUCAUUAGGGAACAAAGCUUCCGGUUAACUGCCGUGGAGUCUGAUAGUACCUGAAGAGGAAGAGACGGCUAACUCUGUGCCAGCAGCCGCGGUAAUACAGAGGUCUCAAGCGUUGUUCGGAUUCCUUGGGCGUAAAGGGUGCGUAGGUGGCAAAUCCCGGGGCUCAACCCCGGAACUGCACUCGAUACUGCCAUGCUCGAGUACUGGAGAGGAGACUGGAAUUUACGGUGUAGCAGUGAAAUGCGUAGAUAUCGUAAGGAAGACCAGUGGCGAAGGCGAGUCUCUGGACAGUUACUGGCACUGAGGCACGAAGGCCAGGGGAGCAAACGGGAUUAGAUACCCCUGUAGUC
rnacentral:rRNA from 1 species